rnacentral:rRNA from 1 species
AUUUCCGAAUGUGGAAACCCACCACUCGUAAUGGAGUGGUAUCCAUAUCUGAAUACAUAGGAUAUGAGAAGGCAGACCCGGGGAACUGAAACAUCUAAGUACCCGGAGGAAGAGAAAGCAAAUGCGAUUCCCUGAGUAGCGGCGAGCGAAACGGGAUCAGCCCAAACCAAGAGGCUUGCCUCUUGGGGUUGUAGGACACUCUGUACGGAGUUACAAAGGAACGAGGUAGAUGAAG